rnacentral:lncRNA from 1 species
ACAAAGAGAAAACCCUUUUAUGCUUGGGUUGGAGGGUCUGGAGAGAAUCAUUGAAAAUAUUUAGAGAGGACUCUUUUAGGGACUUCCCACCAUAGUCAUCCCUCACAGGGUGAGCUGUAAAUGAUGAGAAUAGGAGGAAGUAGAUAACAAAAUUUUCCAGACAGAUUUGAAGAUCUGUAGGCAGAAUGGACCUCUGGGAAGCAAAUUCCUGAUGACGGCCAAUGUUCAAACAGGGCAGAGAUGGGAACAUGUAAAUUGUUGUAAGAUAGGACUAUACAAAGGGAUAGUCCUCAACUCUGCCACUAAGCCCUCAUUUUCCUGUCUGGGACUUUCAACGUGUCCCCAGAGGCAUCUCAGAGCUUAUAACAGCAAGCACUUCCACACAGAGAAAUGAGGACAUGCAUACCUGUGCAAUUGCAUUAAUCCAAAGCUGUUCUGUGCAUAUCCUGAGGCUCAAAGUCCUUCAAAAAGAGUUGUAAUACUGUUUCGUUUCAGGACCUGUUACACUCUUAAAAAGUAUUAAAGAUCAUAACAAGCUUUUGCUUCUUUAGCACAUGCUGUAUACAAUUAUUAAUAUUCAGGAUUAAAAUGCAGAACAUUUAAAUUUUAUUUAUAAAAAUCACAGCCAGAUGGGAGGAACAAGUCUGGUGUUCUAUUACACAGAAGUGUGAUUAUAGUUAACAAUAUUGUAAUGCAUAAUUCAAAAUAGCUUCAAGAGACAGUUUUAAAUGUCCUCAUCACAAAGAAAUGGAUAAUGCUUGUAAUGAUGGAACACUGAAGCAUCCUCUUGUCAACAUGCACUAUAUAAAUGUAAAUGUACUACGACAUUACACAUUACCCUGUAAACCCCAUAACGAUGUAUGAUUUUUCAUCUAUCAAUAAAGAUAAGUGAAAAGG